GAUGAAGAACGUAGCGAAAUGCGAUACGUAAUGUGAAUUGCAGAAUUCAGUGAAUCAUCGAGUCUUUGAACGCACAUUGCGCCCCCUGGUAUUCCGGGGGGCAUGCCUGUCCGAGCGUCAUUGCUGCCCUCAAGCACGGCUUGUGUGUUGGGCUUCCGUCCCUGGCAACGGGGACGGGCCCAAAAGGCAGUGGCGGCACCAUGUCUGGUCCUCGAGCGUAUGGGGCUUUGUCACCCGCUCCCGUAGGUCCAGCUGGCAGCUAGCCUCGCAACCAAUCUUUUUAACCAGGUUGACCUCGGAUCAGGUAGGGAUACCCGCUGAACUUAAGCAUAUCAAAAGCGGAGGA
rnacentral:misc_RNA from 1 species